rnacentral:pre_miRNA from 1 species
CUCUUUGGUAUUCAAUCUCUAUGACUGUUUAGUUUAAUCUCAUAAAGCUUGAAUACCGGAGGA